rnacentral:pre_miRNA from 1 species
GUUAUUUCUCUCUCUCUCACUCUCUCUCUAUGUCUCUCUCAUUCUAUCUUGAAACAAAUAAGAUAGAAUGAGAGAGACAUAGAGAGAGAGUGAGAGAGAAGAAAAGUAA